AUUACCAGCCUGUGUCAUUAUGUAGUUUAAUUACGUUAAAUUUUUAAAUUUUAUUAAAAUUUUAGUAAGUCUAGUCAAGGCAUAAACCUUAUAAUAAAGGAUCGAUAGUGAGACGAAAAUAAAAUAUCGAUUGUUUUAGUGCUCCAAUUUGUACCAUUGUAUAAGCCUAGAUUUAUAAAAUGAUUUCUACUCGGAAGACGCUUCAGUAAUUAAAUAAAUCACUUUUAAAACAUAUUAAUGAGUUACGUUAUUGGUCCAAACCUGUAACAGACAUUGAAUAUAAAAAUGUGUACUAUAUAAUGUAUUACCUCGUGGCUUAUAGUUAGCAUUGGCUUACUAUUUUAUUUAACCAAAAGAAGAAAUACUUACAUAUGCAUAUGUUUGCUACUUUCCAUUGCUUUGUCUAAGCAGAACAUAAUAUCAAUGUAGGCUAUGAAGUGAAGAUAUUGAAGUAAAACAUUGAUAUAACUAAAACACAAAUUUAAAAAUAUGGUGGCUGGCAUUUAUCAAAAUAUUCUUAUUCAAAGUAUAGUACUUAAAUAUAUGUAUGUAUUAAUGUGUAUUUUGAAACGAUCGGAUUUCUUAAAUUAUGAGGACAUCGACUUAUAAUAAUAUGUUAUAUAAACUUGAGGUGACGUCUGUUGCAAUUACGGAAGAAGAGUAUAUUGCAAAGAAACUUUGAAAAUACUAAUUCUAACUAUAAUUGUGUUUAUCACAUUAGAAAUGUUCAAAAAAUUUAAGAAAAUGUCGAAGUUAAAUAAUUCUUGCGAAUACACUUCUGGAAAAAACAAAUUCAUCGACAACAAGGGUGGCUCGUUUAUAAAAACUAGUGGUAUUACAAAUAAUGUUAAUCCCCCCAUAGAAAUAAUAUCUAUCAUCAAUAAGCGGAUAUUUCCACCAAAACUUCCUACGCCAAAUGCCAAUAAAAGCUUUGAACAUUUUUGGCACAGUUAGAAUUCUCUGAAAUUCUUUCUUUGAUUCUGCUUAAAAAUGAAAAACUAAUAAUAACAAGUAACUGCAUAAUGCUGUACCUCAUAAUAGAAACCGUUAACAGCGUGCAUUAAUUACUACAAUUCAGUAAAAUGGGUCGUAGGAGAGCGGAAAGGACAGCAGAGGAGCGAAAAAUUAUUUUAAGUCUACAUUCCGCCAACAAAAGCUAUGCGGAAAUUGGCGAAAUAAUGACGUUAAGUCUUUUUAGUAUUCGAAGCAUAAUCAAGUGUUUUAAAGAUGUGAGUUGUCUCCAGAGUUGCGAACGUUCGGGCCGUCCACGUAAACUUAGUUUUAAAGAGGAGGCGUACAUGGUACGUAAAAUAAAAAAAAAUCCAAAGCUGACUUCAACAAAGAUUGCUGCGGACCUUACGGAAGAAUUAAAGAAACAUGUGCAUCAAAAAACAGUGCAGCGUGUGCUUAUUGGUAACGGGUACAAAUCCAGAAAAGGCUCGAAAAAAACCUCUUAUCAGCAAUGCCAACAAAAAAAACCGUUUAGAAUUUGCUAAAGAGUAUAAAAACAAAUCUAUGGAUUUCUGCGACAAAGUACUGUUCAUAGACGAAUGCAAAUUUAACAUUUUCCAAAGCGACGGUCGAAUACGGGUCUGGAGAAAGGCAAAUACUGAAUUUGACAAAAACAAUAUUAGUAAUACCGUAAAGCAUGGAGGUGGUGGAGUCAUGGUUUGGGCAUGAAUGACGGCGUCAGGCGUUGGGAAAUUAGUAUUUAUUGAUGGACAAGAUAAUGAUCCCAAACAUACAGCUUAUGACGUUUGUAUGUGGAUCAUUCAUCACGUUCCCCACGUUAUAGCAACUCCUCCACAAUGACCGGAUUUAAAUCCCGUUGAAAAGCACAAUGUAACAAGUAAAAGCCAACUAAAAGAGGUAUUGCAGCGUGAAUGGGCCAAUAUUGGAUCUAAGGUGACAAGUAAAUGGUGCAUUCCACGCCAAAUCGUUUAAAUCACGUUGUUAAAAUUAAAGGUUUAAAUACCCGUUAAAAAAUCUGCAUUUUCUUUUCUAUAUUUAAAUAAAAGUUCUAACUGUGCCAAAAAUUUUUGUCCACCGACAUA